rnacentral:sRNA from 1 species
UAUAUAAUUUUGUCUCUUUUUUUAAAAAAAGAACCUUACUAUUGUUAAUUUAUAACAUAGUAGACAGAAGUAGGAUAAACUAUAACUUAAAUAAUAUACUUCUAAAUUUAAAUUGAUGUGUAUCCAUAUAAAUUAGUCUAUCUAAAACAUGUUGAAUGAAAAUGGCACAUUACAAAGACAUACAUAGAACAUUUUUGUUGAAUUCAAAAACCUAAAACAUUGGCAUAUACUAUUUAUGAACACUUACACGAGUAAAAAUUAAAACAUGCCUGAUAUGUCCGGCACAUAAUAGGUGCUCAGGAAAUAUUUGUUGAGUGAAUAAAUGAUACUGAGAAUAUAACCUGAUAAUGUAGGAUAGUUCUUAGCCUAAAUAUUUAAAACAUAAGAAUUGGUGGUCUUAAAAAUAAUAUUUAUUUUCAUAUCUUUUAGAUAUGGGUAAGUGUCACCUUACCAAAGGCAAACAGGCUCUAGAGAUUCGAAGUAGUUUAUCUGAGAAGAGAGCACUUACUGAUCCAAUACAGGGAACAGAAUAUUCUGCUGAAUCUCUUGUGCGGAAUCUACAGUGGGCCAAGGCUCAUGAACUUCCAGAAAGUAUGUGUCUUAAGUUUGACUGUGGUGUUCAGAUUCAAUUAGGAUUUGCAGCUGAGUUUUCCAAUGUCAUGAUCAUCUAUACAAGUAUAGUUUACAAACCACCGGAGAUAAUAAUGUGUGAUGCCUAUGUUACCGAUUUUCCACUUGAUCUAGAUAUUGAUCCAAAAGAUGCAAAUAAAGGCACACCUGAAGAAACUGGCAGCUACUUGGUAUCAAAGGAUCUUCCCAAGCAUUGCCUCUAUACCAGACUCAGUUCACUGCAAAAAUUAAAGG